AUGGAAAAUGCCUGCGAGGACAUCACCAAUGUCGUGCGCUCGGUGAAGCUGCUUAGGAUUGACGGCUACUGCACCACCGAAACAAUGGGCCAUGGGGAUUGCAUCAGAUCCAGUUGGAACGUUGGUGGGUACGAGUGGGAGAUCUGCAUUUACCCUGCCAUGAGAGAUACAGAUGGCACUCGGUGCGUGGCAGCCAAGCUUGUGUUUCUCAGUGACACCUGCCCGUCCAUUGUGAGGGCCAACCUCAGCUGUCGUUUGGUUGAUCUCACAGGCGCCCGUGUACCAUUAGGGGGGAGCGUGUCAUGGAUAUUUAACCGCCCAUGGACAUUCUGCUAUCUUGUAAAGUGCUCGCCUGUCGCCCUAGAAAAUAUCUCACCUCCUGUUCGUGUCAUAUCAACAGAAAAUUCACCGUUAUCUGGUUUUCUCCGAAAUGAUUCUUUUACUGUGGAAUGCACCAUCACCGUGCUUAAGGAGGAUUUGCCAGCACCAGCAACAACCUCGGCUAAAGAGGUGUCUGGGUCUGGGUCAUCACCUAGCUUGCAAGACCACUUGGCUGAACUCCUGCGCAGUGGAAUGGAAGCGGAUGUCACAUUUCUUGUGUCCGGCAAGUCUUUCGCUGCGCACAAGCUCAUUCUCGCUGCAAGGUCCCCUGUCCUUAUGGCGGAGUUCUUUGGGGACAUGAAGGAGACGAGCUCUCGUUGUGUGGAGAUCUAGGACAUGAAAGCGGAGGUAUUCGAGCCGUUGCUUUACUUCAUCUACACUGACUCGGUUCUGGAAUUCAGUCUUCAGCAUGAGAGAGUGACGAUGCUGGCUCAGCAUCUGCUUGCAGCUGCCGACAGGUAUGGAUUGGACAGGCCCAAGCAGAUCUGCGAAGGAAAGCUCUCUGAUGGCAUUAGUGUCGACACGGCAGCGACACUGGCUUUAGCGGAGCAGCACAACUGCCCACAGCUCAAGGUUAAGUGUGUCGACUUCAUUGUUAGUACUCCUGCAAUCCUUGAUGCUGUGUUGGCGACGGACGGAUAUAAGCAUCUGGAGGCAAGCUGUCCUAUGGUGUUGCCUGAGCUUCUCAAGUCUGCACGGAGCAGAAAGAGUUGA
rnacentral:rRNA from 1 species